UAGAACACUGGACUUGGAAUCAGAAAGACCUGAGUUUAAAUCCAGCCUCAGACACUUACUAGUUGUGUGACCUUGAAAAAGUCAUUUAACCCACUUUGCCUCAGUUUCCUCAUCAGUCAAAUGAGCUGGAGAAAGUAAUAGCAAACCACCCCACUAUUUUUGCCAAGAAAAUCCCAAAUGGGGUCACAAAGACUUGGACAUGACUGAAAUGACUGAACAACAACAUAUAUAUUAUUAAUUACAAUUCUAUAUAUUAGAUAACUACGAUUAUAUUUAUAAUUAUAUACAAUGUAUAAUUAUAAUGUUAAUUAUAAUUAUGCAUAUAUAUUUUUACAAACAAAGAACCUGAGGAUCAGAGAUCUUAAGUGACCUGUCUAGGACUAGCACACAACUAGUAAGCUUAGUAAACUGAGGUAAGAUUCUAACUCAGAUCUUUUUGAUUCCUGCUCUAAUGACAUCUCUACUAAACUACUGAGAUUGAUUGUUGUCCUUCAUACUUAAAGAGUACCAAUGACAUCACUGGUAACUUAUUUUGUCUUGAGCAUAAACUGGAUUCAAGUAAGACACGGUUGCAAAAAAGUCAUCAGCCUCACUCUGUCUUCCAGAGUCAUCCAAGUCCAAUGGCAAGAUAAAAGUCAAGAUGACUGGUGAUGGCUGAGGAUGCACUGGAUGAUCUUGAACUCUUCAAUGCUUGGCUAAACCCUUAAGCACUCCACAAAACCUUCUUCCACCACUUUUAUGGAUAUUGGAAUGAAUUGUUCUCAUCUGCCCAUUCCAAGAGAGGAAGUCUUUACAUCCCCCUAACUCACUGACAGUCCCAGUGUGGAAGCCUGCUAUGAGUCAAACUUCCUGUGUCUUGUUCCCACUCUACUGGGAGAGGAGUAAAGUGAGGUCUAGAGAAAACAAGUGCCUGCAGGGAUGCCCUGACUGGAAGCUGGGAGGUCAAAGAUUCUCAUGUAAGUAUUGCUCAAAAAGUUGAGCCAACUUUUCAGAACGUGGGGAAGUUAUUCAGACCUUUGGGCAGCUGAGGUCCAGUCCUUCUGACUGAACAGGAAUAGGAAAGAGAGUCCAGUCUGGGAAUGCCCCCAGACUUGGUCCCUGGGGUUCAGUCUCCAUUCCAUCCCUCCUCCUCUUUGUUUUCAUCCUUGCCUCUCCUUUUCCCCAUCACUCGCAAUAAAAACAAAAUUAGGGGCUGUUUUAAGAAAAAGCAAAUUAUAGUGACAUACUUUAAUUAUCUCCGAGCAAUGGC